GUGCUCACGGCUGUUGGACCUCGAGAGGGACACCGAUGAGCCCUGUCCACAAGGAAAGCCAGACAAGAAAACGUUGAAUAAGCCACCGAGGACUUGGAAAUAUACACCGUGAAAUCUCUGUCCCUCAUCGUGAAGGUGCCCAGCAGAGUUCUGAGAGUCCUCGGUAUAAAGACUUACUCCUGUAAAGAUCUACAAGAGAUUCUCUGCCUUGUGCCACACAUAAAGGACAAACAAUGGGGAAGAGGAAUAGUAGACCCAAUGCUUUGACAAGAAUCCAGCUACCAGGCUAAUCAAGUUGGAGGGCGGAGAGAGAUCUGGCAUGACUCCGGUGUUGGCCUCAUCUAAACAGGAUCUCUCCAACAAAUCACAAAUACCUAGAAAAGUCUACCUUAUUUCAUUCCCCCAAAUCAAAAUAAUAAUUUAAAAGAUCUCAAAGUCUGCACGGAGCUAGCAUUUAUUCAUUCCAUCAGCAUCUUACAGACACCCUAUUUUGUACUGGAUCUAGAAAAUUAACACCAAGAUUCUCUGAUUUCCAAAGUUUCACGUUUACUGGGGAAUUCCAAGAGAAUCCUUUACUGUUCACUUCAACACUCUCACCUCAAUCGGUCUCACAGCGGGCCACACCCUCCUCUCACACUUCCUCCUUCAAGGCAUCAGGACACCACACUCCCGGGGUUUCCGCCUAUGGCACUGGAGCUUUGUAGGAUCUUCCUCCCUUUCCACUCUGAAUGUCAUCUCUCUGGGCUGGAUCCUGGCAUUCCUUCUCUCUUAUUCAGUAAUCUCACCUCUUUCAAGGUUUAACUACAUCCAGGACUCCAAAAUUUUUACCUCCAGAUUUAACUUUUCUGUUCAAAUUACUAUCCUGGAGCUGCCAAUCUGACACCUCCAUGUAACGGUCUCACUUUAAAUUUAGGGUACCUGCAACUAAACGGUUGUAUAUCUGUCCCCACCAGCUACACCCAAACCUACUCCUUUCUUAGAAUCCUUACAUCUCAAUAUGUAACUCUACCAUUUACCCAGUUGCUUUAGUCAUUCUCCUCCCUCCUUCCCUCACCACAUCCCAUCCAUCCAUCGGCAGAUUCUGUCCAUGUUAUCUCUAAACACACCCACACCCACCCCCUCCUCUCUAUUUCCACAACUGCCACCAAUAGCCUCCUAAAUCAACAUUCCAAGCUCUUGGUUUUCUUCAGGGUAAAGUUCUCCAGUGGAAAUAACAGGAACCGCUAAGUAUUACUCAGAACUUACCGUACACCAUGCUAUGCACUGGCUGCCCUCUGCCAUGUGAGCCUCUAAACCACCAAAUGAGAAAACAGGCUCGGAGGAGUGAAGUCACUCCCUAGAGCUGCACAUCGAUCAGUGGUGGCUGCCGGACCCCACAGCCCCUGCACUUGACUACAUUGUCACAGUGAUCAUUUCAAACCGUCACACUGUUGGUCUUUGAGAACAGAACUGAAUUAGCAUUUCUGCAGUGAAUAUUCCAUCUCUGAAAGUACAGAAACACAAUCAACCACCUAACACCCCAUCCUACCAAACAAAGGUGAGUGAAAUGGACGAGACUGUAGGUGCAUCCGCUGAAAGAAGGUCGCUGCCAACAAAAGUUGUUUAGUUUCUCUCAGAGCUACAAUGGCAGCGAGAGGACUGCACCUCUUAGAGCCUCAAAACUUUUCCCUAGGUCCCUAUAUUCUCAUUGCUGGCAGUAACCUCAAUCUUUAAAUACAGCUGUCAGGUUGCUACUGUAGGCCUGACAAUGAAAUUCAAAAUUCAUAGGAGACUGACCUCUUUUUAGUAUUCCAAUAGUAUUUGCUUCUUCACUUACGCAAAGAGACGAAGAAAAAAUGCACGUUUGCUUUUACCCUUCAUCAACAGUCUAAUUUAUUACAAAGAAAACAGGUGGAAAGAAGGUCAAUCUACAAAUGCUAGUGAUUAGACUAACAAUUAUGAAACCCUUCACCAGUAUUUGUUUUUCAGUCUGCAGUGUUCUGGUUGAACAUUGUGAUUCUUGGAUCAGUCAUUUCCAUCCGUGUUUGGGUUUGCUCAGUCUCCCCAGUUGGUGUGUGCAUGCGUGUGCGCUCUUAUUCCACCCCCACUCGCAAAGGGCUUAGAGCCAAAAUCUGAUCCUCUCAAGCUGAAAAGGCUGGCUGGGCGAGUCAUGUGUAGCCUGGCUGGGGAGCUGGGAACUCUGGAUCCCUUCUCCAUGUGGCGCAGAUGCCAGCUUCCCAGUCUCACCCUGCAGUGCAGCCAACAUCUGGGAAACAUAAAAUUCUGGAGUUCUUGUUUGUGAUACUUCCUGCUGUGUUCCUGGCACAACUGAACACACUGACUUUUUAACUCAUAUCUGAACACUUGCUUUUAUUGAAUAUUUGCCUUUUCUCCCUAUGGUGGGCUUGCUAGCGAUACCCCUGAAUAAAAGGAUUCUUUAUACAUUU